rnacentral:rRNA from 1 species
AAACCAGCACCUCAAGUGGUAAGGAUGAUUAUUGGGCCUAAAGCAUCCGUAGCCGGCUCUGUAAGUGUUCGGUUAAAUCUGUACGCUUAACGUACAGGCUGCCGGGAAUACUGCAGAGCUAGGGAGUGGGAGAGGUAGACGGUACUCGGGAGGAAGUGGUAAAAUGCUUUGAUCUCUCGAUGACCACCUGUGGCGAAGGCGGUCCACCAGAACACGUCCGACGGUGAGGGAUGAAAGCUGGGGGAGCAAACAGGAUUAGAAACCCGAGUAGUCC